rnacentral:rRNA from 1 species
CCUACGGGGGACAGCAGUGGGGAAUAUUGGACAAUGGGGGCAACCCUGAUCCAGCCAUGCCGCGUGUGUGAAGAAGGCCCUCGGGUUGUAAAGCACUUUCAGUGAGGAAGAACGCCUGGUGGUUAAUACCCAUCAGGAAAGACAUCACUCACAGAAGAAGCACCGGCUAACUCCGUGCCAGCAGCCGCGGUAAUACGGAGGGUGCGAGCGUUAAUCGGAAUUACUGGGCGUAAAGCGCGCGUAGGUGGCUUGAUAAGCCGGUUGUGAAAGCCCCGGGCUCAACCUGGGAACGGCAUCCGGAACUGUCAAGCUAGAGUGCAGGAGAGGAAGGUAGAAUUCCCGGUGUAGCGGUGAAAUGCGUAGAGAUCGGGAGGAAUACCAGUGGCGAAGGCGGCCUUCUGGACUGACACUGACACUGAGGUGCGAAAGCGUGGGUAGCAAACAGGAUUAGAUACCCCAGUAGUC